GAUAUGGUUUGAAUGCUGCCUGAACGUUCCGAAUUUGGCAGACACGGUGAGGACAAUGCUGAGGAAAAUUGCCACAAACAAAGUCCUGGAGCAGCUUGGCCUCCGUGGAAAGUCAGGAAAAGUGGCGUUUGAGGACUUGCCCCUUUACAGAAUAAUAAAUAAGGCAUGCAGGGGUGUUUACAAGCAGAUGACCACAGCUGAAGUGGAUUGUGAGCUUGGAGAGGUCCUGAAACUGGCCACUUUUCGAAAGGGAGGUUCAAAAUUUGAGGAGAAGAGGAGGAAUUAAGAGGGAGGACAAAAAAGGAAAAAGAAACAAGCAAAAGAACAGAGUGAGAUGAGAGAAUAAACACAAUAUGAAGAAGUUUCAACAGAGGGCUUAUAAGCGUAGAUGGGCUGCCACAACUAGGCAUUUGAAGAAGCAAUGCCGACAGUCAACUUUAGAAUUAGAGAGUGAUGAUAGCGAGCAAGAGAAUGACACGACAUCAACUCCAGAAACAGUGACAAAGUACAUGGAUGCUGUGUGCAGACUAAGAAUAACUGACUAACUGUAUCAGGAUUCAUAAAUAACUCUUUGAU